rnacentral:rRNA from 1 species
GGAUCGCCCUUCCUACGGGAGGCAGCAGUGGGGAAUAUUGGACAAUGGGCGAAAGCCUGAUCCAGCAAUGCCGCGUGAGUGAUGAAGGCCUUAGGGUUGUAAAGCUCUUUUGUUGGGAAAGAAAAGCAGCCGGUUAAUACCCGGUUGUUCUGACGGUACCCAAAGAAUAAGCACCGGCUAACUUCGUGCCAGCAGCCGCGGUAAUAAGGGCGAUCCC